rnacentral:tRNA from 1 species
ACAUUAGUGGUUCAGUGGUAAAAUUCUCACUUUCUAUGUGGGACACCUGGAUUAGAUUCCCAGCCAAUGCA